rnacentral:rRNA from 1 species
UAGAGUUUGAUCUGGCUCAGGAUGAACGCUAGCUACAGGCUUAACACAUGCAAGUCGAGGGGCAGCAGGGCGAUAGCUUGCUAUUGCCGCUGGCGACCGGCGCACGGGUGAGUAACGCGUAUCCAACCUUCCCCUUAGUAGAGGAUAGCCCGGCGAAAGUCGGAUUAAUACUCUAUGUUGUAUUUUGAGGACAUCUGACGAAUACCAAAGAUUUAUCGCUAAGGGAUGGGGAUGCGUCUGAUUAGCUUGUCGGCGGGGUAACGGCCCACCGAGGCGACGAUCAGUAGGGGUUCUGAGAGGAAGGUCCCCCACAUUGGUACUGAGACACGGACCAAACUCCUACGGGAGGCAGCAGUGAGGAAUAUUGGUCAAUGGGCGUAGGCCUGAACCAGCCAAGUAGCGUGCAGGAAGACUGCCCUAUGGGUUGUAAACUGCUUUUAUGCGGGAAUAAAGUCAGGUACGUGUACCUGUUUGCAUGUACCGCAUGAAUAAGGACCGGCUAAUUCCGUGCCAGCAGCCGCGGUAAUACGGAAGGUCCGGGCGUUAUCCGGAUUUAUUGGGUUUAAAGGGAGCGCAGGCGGAGGAUUAAGCGUGACGUGAAAUGUCCCGGCUCAACCGUGGAACUGCGUCGCGAACUGGUUUUCUUGAGUGAGUGCGACGUCGGCGGAAUUCGUGGUGUAGCGGUGAAAUGCUUAGAUAUCACGAAGAACCCCGAUUGCGAAGGCAGCCGACGAGUCCUUAACUGACGCUAAAGCUCGAAAGUGCGGGUAUCGAACAGGAUUAGAUACCCUGGUAGUCCGCACGGUAAACGAUGGAUG